GACUCUUAUCACUCUUAUCACUCUAUAACUCUUCUCAAGCUUUAUUCUUUAUGGUAUAUGAGAUAUUGUGUCCCGCUUCUGGGGCUGAGUUACUUAUGGAAGUAGUUUUUUAUUUUAGGGGGCUUCAAGUCCCAGCCUCUCCUAUCCUCCCUAACUCUCUUCUCUGUCUUUUUUUUUUCUUCUUGGGGCCCCAAGUCUCCACCUCUCCCAGCCUCUCUAAAUUUCUUGUUUUUCUCUUUUUUCUUCUGGGGGGACUUCAAGUUCCCACCUCUCCCAUUUCUUGUGUUUCCCAACCAUCUGUGAAUUAUGGUUCUAUCUAACAUGCCAGGCAUCUCUACUUCCCUGUUGCGGAACUCGAUGAGAAUGCUUUUGUAUCUUUGUCACAGCUUCUAUUAGCUACCUGCCCAACCCCUAAUCCAUAUUGAUUAUAAUUCAGCUAGAAUCUUGUUGAGAGAUGCUUAUGUGGAUCAUGCGAACCCCUACUUUAAGAGUUCUCUUCCACAAGUGAAUCAACUCUCAAGUGGGGAUUCCUAGUAUAGGGAAAGAUGGAAUCAACUCAAUUGAACCAGGUAAAUGUACCCUCUUGGUUUAAUUCAGUCUGUAUUCCGUUGCUGUUUUCUCUUGGAUUUAUUACCUUCUACACUUUUUGUUCCUUGUUGAUAGUUACUUCUUGUAUGUGUGCUUCUUUCUAUCAUUUUUCUAUUUGGACGAUCAUGGUUAUUGUUUUCUCUUUCGUUUUGUUUUGUGGUGCUUUUCUCCCCUUCCUGUAAUCUUAUCUUCUUCUCUUGUUUGUUUGUUGUGCUUGCUCAUUGCAUUUCCUCACUUGUUUCCAUUCGGAUUGGUUGUGCAUGCUUACUUUUUAUGUCAUUAUUUUCUAGUGGAACAAUGAAAAUCCUUCACUGGAAUGUCAAGAGGUCUUCACAGCAAUUUCACAAAAAAAAUUGCCUCCUCUCUCUAUGUCAAUCGAAGAAGCCUGAUAUUUUCCUACUUUGCGAAACAAAAAUUAUCAACCAUGACAACUUUAAGCUUCCCCGAUUCAUUAAUGAUUACAACUUGUCUCUAUCCAUUAACAGUGAAGGAACCAGGGGAAGAAAGGGUGGUAUAUGGAUGACGGUCUCUAAAUCCAUCAACAUAUCCCAUUCUUACAAGGGGUCUUGUUUCAUUACUCUGGAACUUGACAAUAGCCCUAACAAUUGGAUACUCGUUGGGAUCUAUGCCCCACCCCACCAAUCCCUGAGAAAAGAAUGCUGGAUUGAAUUACAAUCUUUUCUUUCCUCUUGUUUUCUCUCAUGCUUAAUCAUUGGAGACUUCAAUGAAAUUCUGUCUGAUGAGGAUAAAUUUGGUGGUUCUCCUUUCAAAAUCACCCCCUUUUCCGAUUUCCUUGAAAAACUUCUUGUUGCUUAUCAUUUUGAUGAGAUCAAGCUGAAUGGUAAUCCUUUCCCCUAGUCCAACAAGCAGAAACCACCAAAUUUAAUCAAAGAAUCCAUCGAUAAAGCUUUUGCUUCAUUCUCUUGGCUAAACCUAUUUCCCUCUCCCUCCUUAACAAAGCUCUCAUUUGUUGGCUCUGACCAUAAUGCUUUAAUCCUUCAUAUCACCCCUUCUCAACCUAGAUAUCGUAAGUUAUUUCAUUUUCAGGAUGCUUGGGUAUCUCACCCUGAUUUUCUCCCAUUCUGUAUGAGAUCAUGGAAUAAUUUGGUUAAUGACAAUCUUAUGGUCAAACUUGUGUGUUUCAGUCGAAUUCUAUCCCAUUGGAAUCGCUCCACAUUUGGCCAUAUUGACAACUUGAAACACUCUCCAUUCUAGUCCCACCUUACUUUAAAUGGCCACUCUUCUCCACCUUCGGAUGGAAUUGCCAAUAUUUCCUCUAAACUCUAAUGGAUCCUUGAGGUUGAGGAAAAAUUUUGGUUCCAAAAAUCCCGACACUUUUAUGUGUCACAAGGCGAUCGGAAUACAAGAUACUACUAGACUGUGUCUAAGGUUAGCUGCAGAAAGCAUAGUAUUGAUGCCAUCCUUUCUAGCUCUGGUUUCAUCACUGACCCUAAGGAUAUUGCAAAAGAAUUUGCCACUUACCUAUCCUAUCUUUUUACCACAUCCAAUCCCCUUGAUCCAUCAUUUAUUGAGUGUCUCUUCCCACGCAUCAUUACCAACCUUGAAGUUGAUUUCGUCACUAGAAUACUAGCGUUUGAUGAAAUUCGCAAUGUUGUACUCUCCAUUGGUGCUUAUAAGGCCACUGGUUCUGAUGGUUUCCAAGCUGUUUUCUACCAAAAAUUCUGGGAUCUUAUUAAUGUGGAUGUUUGUAACUUCAUCACCAAUUUUUUUUGAGACACCUCUCUUCCCCGUGGUGUUAACCAUACCCUGGUUUGUCUUAUCCCUAAAAAGAGAACAUGCCUCUCUUAUUGAGGAAUUCAGACCUAUUAGCCUCUACAAUACUUUUUAUAAGAUCAUUACUAAAAGUUUGGCAAGAAAGCUAAAGAGAGUACUCCCCAAGGUUAUUUCCCCAUUCCAAUCGGCUUUUGUCCCUGGCAGACAAAUUACUGACAACAUUAUCAUUGCCCAAGAGAUUUUUCAUUUUCUCAGACACACCAAAGGUAAAACUGGGUAUGUUGCCAUUAAGCUUGACAUGGCCAAAGCUUAUGAUAAACUUGAAUGGGGCUUUCUACGUGCUCUUUUUUACUUCUUUGGGUUUGGUGAGAAAUGGGGAGAUAUGAUCAGUUAUCUUAUUAGCUCCUCAACUUUUUCUAUCAAACUUAAAAGUGCUGCUUUUGAUUUUUUUGAGCCCUCCCGGGGGAUUAAACAAGGAUGUCUCCUAAGUCCUUUUUUAUUCAUUGUGGCUAUGGAGGCCCUAUCAAGAGUCCUAUCCACCUAUAGGGACCUCAAAAUGUUCAAAGGUAUCAAGGUGGCACGACGUUCACCUGAGAUUUCACACUUGUUCUUUGCUGAUAGGACAUUCAUUUCUGUUGUGCCACCCCUGAGGAUGUAUCUACCAUUAAAUGCAUUCUUGACAUUUUUUCGGACUUGUCUGGUUUUACCAUUAAUCGUGGGAAGAGUGGUUUAGCUUUCAGCUCCAAUGUGGAACCCUCGAGGAAAUUGGCUCUUUGCAACAUCUUGGACAUCCAAGAAAUGAAUAAUGAAUCCACAUACCUUGGCACCAAUUUAUUCCCUAUUAGAACCCAGGGUACCAGAUUUAACCACAUUGUUCAAAGAGUUGACAAAAAGUUGACUAUGUGGAAAUCUAGCCUUCUUUCUUUUGCAGGAAAGACGGUCCUCAUCCAGUCUGUUCUUUCAUCUACACCGUCUUGCCUCAUGUCUUGUUUUGCAUUUCCUAAGGCCACUUGCGAAAAAUUGGAUUCCAUAUAUCUUCACUUUUGGAAUGGAGGCAUAAAUCAGACAAAAAAAUCACACCUUAUUGGGUGGAAUAAAAUUUGCUCUCCAAAACAGGAAGGUGGUCUAGGACUAAGAACUUCUGAAAAUCAAAACAAAUCCCUCUUGUUGAAGCUCGGAUGGCGACUUAUUUACGAGGAUAAUGCACUUUGGGCAAAGAUUUUGAUGCACAAAUAUUUCCCUAACAGGUCUGUUUUUUAUCCUAUCACUCUGAAAUAAAGAGGUUCUCCUACUUGGAAUAAUAUUGUAAGUAUUCUUCCUAUUCUCAAGAAAAUGGUGUAUGUGAAGAUUGGGAAUAGAAACAAAACUAGGCUUUGCACUGACCCAUGGGUCCCUUCCAUACCCAACUUUUGCCUUCCUAAUUUUAAUAUUGCUUCCCAUUUGAAUUCACCUUCCAUGUGGGUUAGUGAUGUUGUUUUAGGUAAUGAAUGGAAUGCUAGUUUGCUUUCAACCAUGAUUCCUAUACCUCUCACCAUUAAAAUUUUGCAAAUUUCUAUUUCCUCCGACAAUAAUAGAUGGUGGUGUCAUCUCUCUAAAAAAGGGACCCUUACCACCAAAAUAGCCUCCAAGUUUUUAACAUAUGGCAAUUAUACUAAUUCAGUUGGACCAAAUACCAGGUGUACGUGCAUGUCAUUUUGCUCACACUGGUGGCGCUUCUUCUGGAAACUCAAUGUCUACCCAAUAUUUAAAAUAUUUUUUUGGAGAGUUGCUCUUGGUGGGAUCCCUACCAAAGACAUCUUUGGAAAAUGGAUGGAUGUUGAUCCAAUGUGUGGAUUUUGCCAAACUCACCAUGAAUCUAUCUGGCACACCUGCCUUUCAUGUGAAUUUUCUAAGAGAAUCUGGGCAGCUGGCCCAUUGGGUUUGAGAACAGAAAAUUUCUAUGCUUCA